GCUGUAGCUCAGUGGCAGAACAUCUGCUUGGCAUGCGAAAAGGUCCCAGGUUCUAUCCCUGGUGUCUCCA